UAAGCGGAGGAAAAGAAACUAACAAGGAUUCCCUAGUAACUGCGAGUGAAGCGGGAAAAGCUCAAAUUUAAAAUCUGGCAGCCUUUGGCUGUUCGAAUUGUAUUCUGGAGAAGUGUUUUCCGCGCUGGACCGUGUACAAGUCUCUUGGAAUGGAGCGUCGUAGAGGGUGAGAAUCCCGUCUUUGACACGGACUACCAGUGCUUUGUGAUGCGCUCUCAAAGAGUCGAGUUGUUUGGGAAUGCAGCUCAAAAUGGGUGGUGAAUUCCAUCUAAAGCUAAAUAUUGGCGAGAGACCGAUAGCGAACAAGUACCGUGAGGGAAAGAUGAAAAGCACUUUGGAAAGAGAGUUAAACAGUACGUGAAAUUGCUGAAAGGGAAACGCUUGAAGUCAGUCGCGUCAUUCGGAACUCAGCCGGGCUUUUGCCUGGUGUACUUUCUGAUUGAUGGGCCAGCAUCAGUUUUGACCGCUGGAAAAAGGCCAUGGAAAUGUGGCACCUUCGGGUGUGUUAUAGCCUGUGGUCAUAUACAGCGGUUGGGACUGAGGACCGCGGCACGCCUUUUAUGGUUGGGGUUCGCCCACAUUCGUGCUUAGGAUGCUGGCGUAAUGGCUUUAAACGACCCGUCUUGAAACACGGACCAAGGAGUCUAACAUGCCUGCGAGUGUUUGGGUGGAAAACCCGAGCGCGCAAUGAAAGUGAAAGUUGGGAUCCCUGUCGUGGGGAGCACCGACGCCCGGACCAGACCUUUUGCGACGGAUCCGCGGUAGAGCAUGUAUGUUGGGACCCGAAAGAUGGUGAACUAUGCCUGAAUAGGGUGAAGCCAGAGGAAACUCUGGUGGAGGCUCGUAGCGAUUCUGACGUGCAAAUCGAUCGUCAAAUUUGGGUAUAGGGGCGAAAGACUAA
rnacentral:rRNA from 1 species